UACGGAGGAUCCAAGCGUUAUCCGGAAUCAUUGGGUUUAAAGGGUCCGUAAGCGGCCCUGUAAGUCAGUGGUGAAAUCUCCCGGCUCAACCGGGAAAUUGCCAUUGAUACUGCAGGGCUUGAAUCACUGGGAAGUAACUAGAAUAUGUAGUGUAGCGGUGAAAUGCUUAGAGAUUACAUGGAAUACCAAUUGCGAAGGCAGGUUACUACCAGUGGAUUGACGCUGAUGGACGAAAGCGUGGGUAGCGAACAGG
rnacentral:rRNA from 1 species